rnacentral:siRNA from 1 species
UGCUCAGCUUUCACCCGCAAUGCC